ensembl:lincRNA
CAAAAAAAAAAAAAAAAAAAAAAAAAAAGAGGGAGAGCCUGCCCUCCCGGGAGAACCCACUUUGAGUGGUCCCGUAAGACCCCCACCGGGGAAACGCCUCCACCUUGAGCGCCGCUGAAGGCUCAGGGAGCCCGUCUGUCCCCCCUGGGGGCGCCCGGCGGCGGUGGCGGUGCCGAAGUCCAGGUCUCUCCCGAGCUGUGGGAAGAGGCUGAGCCGGGGCCGGGUCUGCGCAUGCGUGCUUAGCCUCUCGCCCCGCGGGCAGCGGGCAGGACGCCUGAGACUCCAGAACCGGGAUGAGGGCUGCACAGGGCGUCCCGCGCCGCCCUCGCGCUGAGGUCGUCCGGGCGGGCGUGCUGGGACCUCAAUGCCUCCCGGGUCCCCACGCCUGGGUGCGCCCCGGGCGCCGGGGCGGGCCCGCUCUGUCCUCCGGCUGCAGGAUCACGGCGCCCGAAACCCGCGGACAGUCACUUUCCACAAGGGAGGGCUCUGCUCUGAACCGCGCAGGUGUCCGGGAGGGCGAGACUCAGGAGGGGUGGGGUGCGCGGCGUCCCCCGGAACACAGCAUCCCCGGAGGCAUUGAAGAGCGGCAAGUUCCAGAACAGGCGGUGCUCCAAAUCCGUGACCAGCCACAGCAUCGGGUCUGCGUAAAGACGAUCCCUGGCCCAGUGAGUUAAGAACUUGCGGUAGAGUCCAGAGAUCUGUUUAAUAAACGCUCCAGGCGAUUUGGGUGCGCGAUUUCUAUUUAAAAAUUCUGUGCGACGCUUGGUUCUGAUAUCACCAAGCUGUGUUUCCUCCUGAGCCCUCUAGGGGACCUUACGGGUCAGAUCGCAGGCAUCCAGGCCCGGCCACGGCUGGGGAUCCCGGCAGGGGCAGCAAGCGCUUCCCGGGACUGUGUGUCGACUGGGGCAGAACCGGCCGGUGCUCCUGAGCAGGGGACAGCGGCGCGGGCGGCGCAGCCUCGCAUGUGGCCACUGGAGGGCGCAGGAGGCCGUAGCGCGACGCGGCAGCCGUGGAUUCCGUCGCAGAAUCGCUAGCGCUGAGAUUUCUAUUGGAAAUCGAGAAGGAAGAGUUCACCGGCAGGACUUGCCUGUCGCAUAGUGGGGAGCCAUAAUUUAGGGCUGGGGGAGGUUGUCUCUGGGCCCUGUGUACUGAGCAGGGAGGGUUUGGGAUUGCGAGGUUAGGGAGCCUUUAGGGUUGGUUUGCUUUUGGUGUUGGUGCUGGGGAUUAGACUCAAGGUUUUCGUUCUAAGCUCCAUCCCCAGUCCUAUUUUUAGUUUUAAAUUUUUGAUAAAUUGGUAAAUUACCCAGUCUGGGCUCUAACUUGCGAUUCUCCCGCCUCAGCCUCCCAGAGCUCUGAGACUGCAGCCGUGAGCCUCCACGCCCGGGGUGUCUUAGCUCUUUCCUCCUCCCUGAGCGCCUCCAGCCCAUCCUGUGCCUCUUGUCCGCACCUGUCCUUCUAGGCCGGGGCUCCUCUCCGUCCCCGCCCUGUCCCUCUCGGUCCCCCAGCUCCUCGCCUUCCCGCGAAGUGGGUCAGAAACGCCUCCGCGUCCUGACCCGAUUCCCCGCCGUCUAUCUCAGCUCCUGAACGCGGGUAUUUUUGUUCUGUCCUGGAAGAAACGAAGACGCUGUGUCCCCAGAGCCCGGGGCGCGUGGCCCAGGCUGGGCCCGGCCCCCGCACGCCGCUCCUCGGGGCUGGGGACGGGCGCGGUGGGGCCACGCGCGGCGUGGAAUUGGGGCUGGGCUGGGGCUCUGGGGCGCGUGCACGCGUGCACGUGCAGAAUAUCAG